rnacentral:rRNA from 1 species
GAGACAGCAGCAGCCACGGUAAUACGUAGGUGGCAAGCGUUGUCCGGAAUUAUUGGGCGUAAAGCGCGCGCAGGCGGCCUAUCCAGUCUGUCUUAAAAGUUCGGGGCUCAACCCCGUGAUGGGAUGGAAACUAGUAGGCUAGAGUAUCGGAGAGAAAAGCGGAAUUCCUAGUGUAGCGGUGAAAUGCGUAGAUAUUAGGAAGAACACCAGUGGCGAAGGCGGCUUUCUGGACGAAAACUGACGCUGAGGCGCGAAAGCCAGGGGAGCGAACGGGAUUAGAUACCCCCGUAGUCCCUGUCUCUUAUACA